AAAUCGUAACAAGGUUUCCGUAGGUGAACCUGCGGAAGGAUCAUUAACACGUAUCCAAACGUUUAACCCCCUGUGAACCUUCAAUGUGCUCGUACGCUUUGUCAAAGCGAGGCAAUCCCUGGUAAAUUAUCGCCGAACAGUUUUGAUUCUGGGACUUCCUUAAAGAGUGUACAUGUGCGCGAGGCAAGUGGCCUGGCAUUCCCAAUUGUGCGCAAUAAAAAACGAACAACAGAAAACAAUGGAUAUCUUGGUUCUC
rnacentral:misc_RNA from 1 species